CCUACGGGUGGCAGCAGUGAGGAAUAUUGGUCAAUGGCCGGAAGACUGAACCAGCCAAGCCGCGUGAAGGACGAAGGUGCCAAGCAUUGUAAACUUCUUUUGUCAAGGGACAAAAUCAGGCUCGAGAGCCUGCCCGAGGGUACUUGAAGAAAAAGCAUCGGCUAACUCCGUGCCAGCAGCCGCGGUAAUACGGAGGAUGCGAGCGUUAUCCGGAUUUAUUGGGUUUAAAGGGUGCGUAGGCGGGCUGUUAAGUCAGCGGUAAAAGCCCGGGGCUCAACCCCGGCGAGCCGUGGACACUGGCUGUCUUGAGAUGUCGAGAGGUAUGCGGAAUGCGCAGUGUAGCGGUGAAAUGCUUAGAUAUUGCGCAGAACUCCGAUUGCGAAGGCAGCAUACCGGCGGCGAUCUGACGCUGAGGCACGAAAGCGUGGGUAUCGAACAGGAUUAGAUACCCCGUGUAGUC
rnacentral:rRNA from 1 species